rnacentral:tRNA from 2 species
UCUUUGAUCGUAUAGUGGUCAGUAUGCCAGCUUGUCACGCUGGAGACCGGGGUUCAAUUCCCCGUCAGAGAG